rnacentral:misc_RNA from 1 species
GAUGAAGAACGCAGCGAAAUGCGAUAAGUAAUGUGAAUUGCAGAAUUCAGUGAAUCAUCGAAUCUUUGAACGCACAUUGCGCCCGCCAGUAUUCUGGCGGGCAUGCCUGUUCGUGCGUCAUUUCAACCAUCAAGCCCCGGGCUUGUGUUGGGGACCUGCGGCUGCCGCAGGCCCUGAAAUGCAGUGGCGGGCUCGCUGUCACUCCGAGCGUAGUAGUUACAUCUCGCUCUGGGCGUGCUGCGGGUUCCGGCCGUUAAAAGCCUUAUUUACCCAAGGUUGACCUCGGAUCAGGUAGGAAGACCCGCUGAACUUAAGCAUAUCAAUAAGCGGAGGA